rnacentral:lncRNA from 1 species
UGAGGUUUAAGCAAAAAGGAAAUCUAAGAUAGGUUAUGAUACAAGACUUUGAUAUCAAAAGAGGAAAUAAUACCAAGUUCUUAUUGUUUUUCAAAUGCACUUGUUAUAUUAACUGACAAUAUGCAUUUUAAACAAAACAAUUUAGAAACAAUAUCAACAUUGUUUGAGUGACAUUGAGGUUUAAGCAAAAAGGAAAUCUAAGAUAGGUUAUGAUACAAGACUUUGAUAUCAAAAGAGGAAAUAAUACCAAGUUCUUAUUGUUUUUCAAUAGUUUGUGAGUUCACAGAAGCUUACCGUCAUUUAGUAGUUUGAAUUUGUAGCUGUGAAACUAUCAUGAACAGAAAGGAGUAAAAUAUGGGGACAUAAUCUAACGAGUCAAAAUAGGGUUGAUGUUUUGCAAUGGC